UUUCCGUAGGUGAACCUGCGGAAGGAUCAUUAACACGAAUUAUUUAUUAUCCAAUAUCAAAAACCAAACGUGAACUUUUUCCCUCCCUAUAUAUAUGUAGAAAUACUGUAUAUAGGCUAACCUCAUAUAAUAAUUAACUUUUAACACCUUAAACUUCAACUAGUUUUAAUGUAACCCAUUAAAACAUCUAAACUAAAAAAGACAAGGUUAUUCGAAAGAGUAAACUUUAACUUUUUUCGAUUUACGAAAAAUUUAAAAGAACAACUCUUAACAAUGGAUAUCUUGGUUCUC
rnacentral:misc_RNA from 1 species